rnacentral:lncRNA from 10 species
GCGGGGGGGCGCGCCGGCCGCCUUCGGAGCCCCCCAACUCGCGUCCUGCAAAGGCCGCCGGGCCCUGUCGAGAAGACCCGACCGCAGAUGGCGGGGAGGAUGCUCCCGGCGGCGUGGGAACCGGGUCUGACUCCCGAGCCACCGCCGCUUCCGCAGGGGCGCCGGCCCCGGGAAAGUCAAGUCAUAAAUCCCUGAAUCUAAAACUCCAUUCUCAGAGAAAAGGCCUCCAAGGACGGGCGCCGUGCGCGGCAACUGCCUGCAGUUUUGAAGCCCUUUGACUAUUUCAUAACAAAGACAAGGCCGGGCGGCUUGGACGCUUAGGAAAAUCCUGGGGCUUUGCAAAAACAACAGGUUAAUCUAGUCGUGUGGGAUGAUCACCAAAACAAGACAGGAAAGAAGAACACCGUGUCAAUGCUGAAAAGCCAGCCCCUGUGAGCCCCAAAGUGCACGUUUUCCACAGUCCCAAGGAACACGUGACUGUGUGUUUCCACACUUGAGAAGUCAGGAUAAGACCCCUUGGAUAAUGGAACAGGGGAUGGGGGUGGGAGCAAGCACCCUACCUGGUCACCUGCUUAACUUAGAAACCAGCUUUUAAAACCUGUAACUGCAGUAUGAGCUACGAUCAAAUUUGUCUUAACGUAUUUUUUUUAAUGUUUUUAAUACCCAGAACACAGGGCUUCUACUCCAGGGUUUCCUCGCCAGGGAACCCCAAACACACAGGACCUGGAGAAGCCGGGUAGAGCUGGCUCCUGGCCCUGCGCUUGGGUGGUCGGCUGCCUUAAGAAGAACUGCACCCCAGAGACAGGCUCGCAGCUGCCGACCUUAUCCACUCGCCCUUUCUGCUGGAGCCCAGGCCCAGUGCUCCAGCAAGGAGGCUGAGAAAAUGCUGAAGACUGAUGCCCACGGGGGACAGCUUGGGCUAAGGAUAACGUUUGCAAAACAAACCUUUAAAAACCCAUAGCAACCUGUUUCCUAGAGCACACUCUUCAUCUCUCCACCCCCAAACUAGUCCCGACUCGGAUCCUCCUUUUCCUAUCCUCUUUCUCUUGCUCUCCCGUCUCCUAUUCACUUUUCUUCUCCUUUCCUCUUGAUUAUUAUAAACAAAUGCUUUCCAAGUCUUACCGCCAUCAUAUGUGUACAUAUGCAACCCUUACUGUUACCAAUUUGUUGAAGUCAAGACAGGAGGAGGCAAAGUUUAAAAAUCAGAAGUAUUGCAGGAAAUGAAAAUGGAGUGAGUGUUGCCUGGGUAUCAUAAUUUUUUUUUUUUUUUUAACAGUUCCUCUACUUGGCUCUCCUCCAAAGGUACGCGGCCACAGCAGGCAGGGGCUUGGCAGUGUGGGAGGAGACACCACAGAAGACAGGGAAGAACUACCAGGCCUUGGUUCAUCUCCACACUGGCGAGAGAGGACGUGCAGGGAAGUAUCGGCUGCCAGAUAGGGAGCUGAGACUUCAAGAAGCUAAAUAAGGUGUCCAACACCACAGAGCAUGGAGCAAAGGACACGGGACUGCAAAUCUUCCUAACUCGUGUGCUCAUCUGGCUAUCUCACCAGGGCCUUAAAUUUAAUAUAUCCCAAACUGAACUCAUCUUUACCCCUUCCCACUUUGCACUCCUCAAAUGUCCUUGUUUAAAAUAGUUACCUUUAUCUUUCCUAACCCAGAAACUCAAAACCUGGCAUCAUCUUUGACUUCUCUCUUUACCUUCACAUUCAACAGUUUCCAAGACUUAAAGGCUUUAUUUGUAGGAUCUCUACCACUGAUCCUCUACAGUUUCACACCUACAUCCCAUUCUCGUUCCCAAAUCCCCAUAACUCCUCUCCUGGCCCAUCCCUUAACACUGAAAUCCUGGCUUGGAAAAUAUGGUCACAUUCACAGCAGCUGUCCCCAAGAAGGAAGCCAAGGCAACAGUAUGCACAAUGAAGUGAGUCUUCACUGAUCUCUCCAUAUUUUGACAUUUUACAGCACUUAUUAUCUCUACUUUGUAUUUUGAAACUGAAUCCAAAAUAGUUUUGCAUUUGUUGUUUAACAGUCAUGUAUGUAGUUUUUUUUUUUUUUUCUUUUUUUUUGGAGACAGAGUCUGGCUCUGUCACCCAGGCUGGAGUGCAGUGGCGUGAUUUUGGCUCACUGCAACCUCCGCCUUCUGGGUUCAAGCAGUUCUCGUGCCUCCCUGAGCAGCUGGGAAUACAAGCAUACACCACCAUGCCCAGCUAAUUUAUUUUUAGUAGAGAUGGGAUUUCACCAUGUUGCCCAGGCUGAUCUUGAACUCCUGAGGUCAGGCAAUCUGCCCACCUCAGCCUCCCAAAGUGCUGGGAUUACAGGCAUCAGCCACCACACCCAGCCCCUCCAUGUGUGUAGAUAUUUAUCCACAUCCAAAAAUUAGGAAAAGCAGGACGCAUUGAACCUUUGGUACCCAGCAGCAGGAGCCUGUGGGUCUUCUGUCUGGAGCACAAUCACAAGGACCGAGCAUCAGCAGCAUCCACUGUCCUUUCAGCUCCAAAUUUUAAACUCCCGUAAGAGAGACAUUAUUGGCCCAGCUUGGGUCGUGUGUCCACCCCUUUAAUCAAUCAGCUUUGGCCAAGCAGCAGGUCAUCCUGGUCCAAACAUCACAGUUGGGGGCCUCACUUGUAAAUAGAGCUUGUUCCCAAAAAAGAGGGAGGCACACACCAUUCAUUUGUUUAUUCAUUCAUUCAAUCAGCAAAUAGUUGAGCAUCUAUAGAAAUAUAUUUAAGGUUCUAUUAUGUACACAAAAUGUAUAAAACAUGGCCCUGCCCUCACACCAUGAAAGUUACCACAUAAAAAGAAGUCACCAGAUAAAAAAAGCAUAACAGUAUUCAUAAGUACUCAUGAGUGACCAUCAAUUCAGUUACACAUGAUGGAAGAUAAUUCAUUAUACCUAGUAUAAGCCAGUGACGGUAAAAAUAGUUAGCAGCAAUGUGUACAUGAUCAACAAAAGCUCACAGCAGCACCAUUUACACAAAAACAGAAAAGUACCCAGAUGUCCAUCAGAGGUAGACCAGAUAAAAUAUAAAAUAUACCACCACACAAUGGCUAACACCUGUAAUCCCAGCACUUUGGGAGGCUGAGGCCGGCAGAUCACUUGAGGUCAGGAGUUUGAGACCAGCCUGAUCAACAUGGUGAAACCCCGUCUCUACUAAAAAUACAAAAAUUAACCAGUUGUCAUGGCAUGUGCCUGUAAUCCCAGCUACUCAGGAGGCCGAGGCAAGAGAAUCGCUUGAACCUGGGAGGCCAAGGUUGCAGUGAGCCGAGAUCACACCACUGCACUCCAGCCUGGGUAAAAAAGCGAGAUUCCAUCUCGAAAAAAAAAAAGUGUAUAUGUAUAGUGUAUGCAUGCACAGAAUACUUUACAGCAAUAAGAAUGAGUGUUCUGCAAAUAUACACAAUAUUGCUGACUCUCCCAAUGUUAAACAAAAGCAUCCAGACACACAACAAUGUGUACAGUAUAUGAUUCCAUUGAUAGAAAGCUUAAAAACAGGCAAAAUUAAUUCACCCUUAUGGAGUCUUAAGUAAGGGGAACAAAAGGGGCCAUCUGGGCAGUGAUAAUGCUGUUUCUUGAGCUGGGUGCUGGGUUCACAGGUGUGUUCAGUUUGUCACAUUCAUCAAGCUUACACUUCUCAUACAUCUUCUUUUCUAUAUGUAUGUCAUCCUUCAAUAAAAAGUUUUUAAAAAAUAAA